rnacentral:rRNA from 1 species
AUGGCAAGGCCCGGCGGUUCCCUUUCCUUCCUCGAGAAAACUACUCCACGUUUCUUCUCAAAAGAAAAAAAGAAGAAGAAGAGAAAACUACUCCAAUUCGGUUUAGCUAGGCUGUCGUGGAGGAGAACUCCACUCCGCGGGUCGGACAUCUUCCCUAGCGGCUGCGUUUCUGGUCCGUUCGCUAUAUAUCGAACAAGCGAGGGAGCAGUUGAUCAAUCGGCGAAGAGAAGAAAAGAAAAGGUGCAGAUUUUCGUCAAGACCCUCACCGGGAAGACGAUCCCGCUGGAGGUGGAGAGCCGCGACACCAUCCGCGACGUCAAGGCCAUGAUCCAGGCCAAGGAGGGCUUCCCUCCGCACCAUCAGCGGUUCAUCUUCGAGGCAAAGCACCUGGAGGAGCAGUGCGCCCUGGCGGACUUCAACAUCCAGAACGGGUCGACGUUGCACCUGAUUACCCGCCGCCCGGGGUGA